GACGAACGCUGGCGGCGUGCCUAAUACAUGCAAGUCGAGCGGACUUUCAAGAAGCUUGCUUUUUGAAAGUUAGCGGCGGACGGGUGAGUAACACGUGGGCAACCUGCCUGCAAGACGGGGAUAACUCCGGGAAACCGGGGCUAAUACCGGAUAAUAUCUUCCUUCGCAUGAAGGAAGGUUGAAAGGCGGCGCAAGCUGCCGCUUGCAGAUGGGCCCGCGGCGCAUUAGCUAGUUGGUGAGGUAACGGCUCACCAAGGCGACGAUGCGUAGCCGACCUGAGAGGGUGAUCGGCCACACUGGGAAUGAGACACGGCCCAGACUCCUACGGGAGGCAGCAGUAGGGAAUCGUCCGCAAUGGACGAAAGUCUGACGGAGCAACGCCGCGUGAGCGAAGAAGGUCUUCGGAUCGGAAAGCUCUGUUGUCAGGGAAGAACAAGUACCGUUCGAACAGGGCGGUACCUUGACGGUACCUGACCAGAAAGCCACGGCUAACUACGUG
rnacentral:rRNA from 1 species